rnacentral:lncRNA from 1 species
UAUUAUUUAGUCUCAUGUUUCAUUUUAUUACCAACAUCUUAGAAUACAAAACCUAUUGAAAGGUCUGUGAAAUUGAAAAAAAGAAAAAUAAAUAAUCUUGGGUGCCAAAAAAACUAACUAAAUGGCAAUUAUAGAAUAUUCCAACUUAAGAACCCAUUAUUUCGUGCAUGGAGUUAGUGUGCUCUCUUGGUUCUGGUACUCAUUCAGUCACACCUUUGUUCUACACAUCUUUCUACAUAUGUUGUUAAUACACACCCACUUGCGAAACUCACUCUUUGGACAAUCAUCAUCCGUUAUACAAUUGAUAAGCUCUAAAGUAGAUAAAGAGAAUAUAAUAAUAUUAAUAAAAUGAGAUAAAAUAUUGUGUAUGAACAAAAAAAACUAAAUAACAUUUAAAAAGGACAAAAAAAAUAGCUUACCACCGUCAACGUUCAUUACAACAAGAAAUAUGGAAAGAAAUAUAAUUAUG